GACACAGCAAAAGAAACAGCAGAGUGAAGAGACAACCUAUGAAAUGGGAGAAAAUAUUUGCAAACUAUACGUCUGAAAAGGGAGGAUUUCCAAAGUACAUAUGGAAGUUAAAUUACUCAAUAGUAAGAAAACAAAUAACCUGAUUAAAAAAUGGGCAAAGUGGCCAAGGAGGUGUAGCCCGGUGGAUCGCUUGAGCUCAGGAAUUUGAGACCAGCUUGGGUAACAUGUCAAAACCUUGUCUUUACAAAAAAAUACAAAAGUUAGCCAGGCAUGGUGGUGUGCACCUGCAGUUCCAGCCACUCAGGAGACUGAGAUGGGAAGAUCACUCGAGCCCAGGAGGUUGAGGUUGCAGUGAGCCAAGAUUGCGCCUCUGCACUCCAGCCUUGGUGACAGAAAGAGACCCUGUCUCAAAAAAAAAAAAAAAAAGGAAAUGGGCAAAGGACCUGAAUAGACAAUUUCUUUUUCCAAAGAAGAUAUACAAAUGGCCAACACAUAGAUGAGAAAGUGCUCAACAUCACUAAUCAUCAGGGAAAUACCAAUUAAAACUAUAAUGAGAUACCGUCUCACACCUGUUAAAAUGGCUAUUACAAGAAAAAGAAUAACAAAUGUUGGAGAGGAUACAGAUAAAAGGAAACUCUUGUACACUGUGGGAAUGUAAACAAGCACAGAUAUUACAGAAAAUAGUAAGGAGGUUUCUCUGGAAAUUUAAAAUAGAAUUACCAUAUGACCCAAUAAUCCUACUUCUGGGUAUAUGUCAAAAGGAAAUUAAAUCAGUAUGUUGAGUUGAUACCUGCACUCUCAUGUUGAUACUCAUUUACAGUGGCCAAAGUAUGCAAUCAAACUGACCAUUGACAGAUGAAUGGAUAAGGAAAAUGUAGUGUGUGUAGGUAUGGAUGUCAGUUAGGAGGAAUAAGUUCUGGAGAUGGUCAGCAUAGUGACUGUAGUUAAUAAUAACAUACCGUGUUGAGUCCCUGACUUAUGAUGGCUCAACUUACAAUUUUUCAACUUUAAGGUGAGUUUAUUGAGACAUAAUUGAAUGCAUUUCUUUUUGUUUUGUUUUGUUUUGUUUUGAGAUGGAGUCUUGCUUUGUUGCCCAGGCUGGAGUGCAGUGGUGCGAUCUUGGCUCCCUGCAACCUCUACCUCCCAGGUUCGAGCAAUCCUCCUGCCUCAGCCUCCCCAGUAGCUGGGAUUACAGACACCUGCCACCACACCUGGCUAUUUUUUGUAUUUUUAGUAGAGGCGGGGUUUCGCCAUGUUGUCCAGGCUGGUCUUGAACUCCUGACCUUAGGUGAUCCAUCUGCCUCAGCCUCCCAAAGUGAUGGGAAUACAGGUGUGAGCCACUGCACCUGGCCAAUUCAAUGCAUUUCGACUUAUGAUAUUUUCAAUGUUGUUACCAUAAAAAAUGUUAAAUGUUCCCACCAUAGAAAAAGUAUAUGAGAUGAUGGAUAUGUUAAUUAGCAUGGUUUAAUCUUAUACAAUGUGUACAUAUAGGACAGCAUUGUGUUAAUAUAUAAAUAUGUACACCAUAAAUAUGUAAUAUUUUUGUCAUUUGAAUCUUAAUAAAGCUAAAAAAGAUUUUUAAAAAGCGUAAGUCCCAAUGUUAAGCUUCCUUAGACAAAUCUAAACACUGCAAAUAUUAUUUCUAAAAGUUUUUUUUAUAGAAUUGAUAUCAUUAACUUUUUUUAACACUGCCAUCUUUUAUUUUAGAUUUACAGGGUAUGUAUGCAGGCUUGUUACAUGUGUAUAUUCCAUGAUACUGAAGUUUGGGGUCUGAUUGAUCCCAUUGUCCAGAACUAAUGUCUUCAAGGAUGCACAUCAAAAAAAGAAGAGACCCAGGAUAUGAAGCUUUAAAUGUGGACUGCUUUAUUUUAGGUACAAAUGCCAGUGGAAACUUUCCAUUUUUAUAAUAAUCAUUAUUGUUUUGUUAGGGCUCAGAUUUAAAAGUUCCUUAGGUAUUGUGUGGUCUGGCACUAUCUUCACAAUAAGUCUAACUAUUUUUAUUUUGCAGAACAUGAGGUUAUACAGAAGUGCAUAUAUUGUGUUAGAGCAGGAAUGCCUGUACUUGAUUCUGGCUUAGUGGUAGUCAUUUUUUUGAUUAAUAAAGGUAGUUUUAAUUUUUAUCCUAUUUCUUUUCAGGGCCCAUUAUAGUGUUUCGCAGGCCCAUUACUAACUCAUUUGUGUGCAUUAGGAAAAGAUUUUCCUUCCACUGAGCAGAUGUAGGUUUGUAAUUGCAGGGUUUGGAGUACAGAACUCUUGCUGGAUUUUACUUGCAUCUUCAUCCAGGCCCGUGUACAGUUCAGUUUGAAAACAUUACAUGGUUGCCUGGCUUCCUGAACAAAAGUGAGACAUGCACACACAUACACACAAUGCUUAUUGAACAGUGAAAUUGUUUCUUUAGCAAAUAAAUGUUUUGAUUAGUUUAACAUUUAUUUACAGUAUUUCCCUUUUAAAAAUAUGUCCUUAUUUGUCAAUGUUUGAUGUUACACAAAGAUUUUACAAACAUAUUUAAGACUAUUUUACAGGCUAUAACUUUGAAAAUUCUUUCCAUACAAGAGAAGAGGCGUGGUAGCGAUAGAAUGCAUAAAUAUUUCCCAAUCUCUCCUUUUUUUUCUUUUUUUUCUUUGAGGGGUGGGAGGAUAGAUAAUAAGAGAAGAAGACUAAAUUUGCCCAUCCCAUAUAUGAAUUAUUUUUAAUUAAUACUGAAAUUUUCAGUUUAGGCAGUUGACACUAGGUUCUGCCAGAGUUCUAGGCAGAAUUGCAUAAGAUCUCAAGAUGUGUUUACUCCAUUUAUUCUUCCUUUUUGGAACCCUUUUUAAGUUCCAACCUCAGAUAGUCCUUGGACAUCCUAAACUGCACUUUUUAAUGUGGUUUAUCUUCAUGCCAGAAUUUCUAGAGGUCACAACUGUAUAUUUAUUUUUUUGUUUUUGUUUGUUGUUUACUUCAUGAAUGUGUGCAUAUAUGUGUCUAUAUUGUGUGUGUACAACUUGAUGAUAGAGUAUGUAAGUUAUUAACUUGUAUGUCAGUAAGGCUCAUCUUAAAGACAAUGAACAUUUUAAAUGAGAACUUGUUAGCCCAAAUGAUCCUAAUAGCAUGAAAUAUUUUCGAGGGAGGAAUAUGUUAUUUAAGGUAUAUGUUAAGCUUUUAUAACAAGGAGAAGUCAACAUAAAUAUAUAGAAUUUAUUUUUCUCUCAUUUAACGGUCAAGAAUUAGAUAUGCUUUACAGGGUUUAGCAGAGACCUUUUAGCUUUGCUGUUCCUUAGGAUGCUGCCCUUGCCUGCAUUGUUGAGAGUCACUGGUACUUCAUUUCAUUUCCAUAUUCAGUCAUUUUUAAUGAUAAACCCAAUCAUUUAUAAUGGCCAGACCUAGAAGUUGUGCACAUAAUUUUGGCUCACGUUUUAUUUUCAAGGACUUUGUUGUAUAGUCAGACCUAACUGCAAGUAAGGCUGGGAAAUAAGGUCUCUAAGCUGAGCUGCUGAGGGCUCAGCUGAAACCCAAGGAGCUCUAUUAUCCAAAAAGUAUAGGAGGAUGGAUAUUAGGGGAAAACAAGAAGUCUAUUCAGUUUGCCUCUUUGGCUACCCAAAUGUCCAUGUACCUCUUUCUCAUUCAUAAAACAUACCAUCUUCUCAAGGAUGAUAACCCAAAGUCACAUUCAUUGGGUAAAGUCCUCUAUAUCGGGUUUCUGUGUGGUUCAUCAUGAUGUGGUGACCAAUAAACUAAGAGACAAGUUUCCUAAUUUUCUUGACCUCUUGCUUCUUGUAUGAUGGUAUAAAGGACAAGGAAAAUUCCCAAUGGGAAAAAAAAGAAUGGGCCAUAUAUGAUAGUUCCUGUUCCUUACAAUAAUAGACUUCUUGCUCUGGCAGUGGAGUAAGGUCUUGCUAGGACCUUAAUUUUGCUUUCUGAGAUAAGCUCCCUUGUCAUUUGUCCUUCAUAGUCCCUGACCUUGCUCUUUGGGAAUUACUCUUGGUCUAUGAUUCUUUGUGACUGUAUCUAACAUGGGUGUUAGUGUACUCUUAUUGGAGACACCACUGCAUUCUCACCCUGCUUUCUAUUGGUGCAGAUUUGGCUCCCAGGGAUAGUCUUUGUUAGGCUUAUGGUAGUAUUUCCUAGUCGAGUUCCCUCCGAAAUGUAGGUUUCCAUUCUCUUUUUCUUCCUGUCAGUUAUAUGUGAAAAUACCACAGCCAAAGAUCUCAUUUUGUCAUAGUUGUUAAGCCUAUGCACUUAUUAAUUUACUAGUUAUUUUCCUCAGACUAUCCACCUCUCCCUCAAUUUGAUAACUGCCUUAGUGUAGUGGCUACUCUACACAUGCUCUAACAAAGCUUUAAAGUAAGCUGAAAUUUAUGAAGUUGAACAGCAAGUAAUAUAAUAACCUGUCAGAACAGAAUUCAUCACUCUUUAAGGAAGACCACAAAAUCCACACAUUAACAACAUAAUCAUAGUACCCUUAAAAUAUGUAUUUAUAUAAAACCUACUAGACAUGUGUGUAUGUAUGUGCACAUGUGUGUAUUCAACUAUUAGGCAUGCAAAGAAGCGGAGAAAAAUUAUUAAUGGAAACUGAUGUGGAAAUGAUAAUGAUCAUGAAAGUAGUUGGCAAAGAGCUUAAAAUAUCUAUUGUAAAUAUGCUCAAGGACUUAAAAGGAAAAUGUGAACAUAAUGAAAGAAAUUGAACAUAUAAAGAACCAUUGAACGUUCAGAAGCUAAAAAUAUCUGAAAUGUAAAACGACUUCAGCUAACAAGGGAAUAGUCAUUCAGAAGAAGUGGUUAAUAAAUAAAAAUCACUGCUAACUUCUCACUAGAAGGUAUGUAAGCCAGAAAAAUGGAAUGAUAUAUUUAAAGUGCUGAAAGGUGGGGAAAAAAAGUCAGUCUAAAAUUCUCUGCCCAGUGAAACAUUUUAAAAAACAGAGACAAAAUGACAUUUCCAGAUAAGCAAAAAUAGAGAGAAGUUGUCAGUAUACACGCACUAAAGAAAUUUUAAAAGAUGAUCUUCAGGCUGAAGGAAAAUCAUACUGGGUAAAAACAGAUUUACAUAAAGGAAAAAAGAAAUGUUAAGAAAUGGUAAAUAUGUGGGUCUGAAAUAUGUAGAAAUUAAAUCACACAUUUCCAAAUAACUCGUGGAUGAAGAAGUCACAAGAGAAACUAUAAAAUGUUUUGAACUGAAUAAUAUUAGAAACAUGACAUAUCAGAAUUUGAGGGAUGCAGCUACUAAAUUACUGAAGCAAUGCUGUAUGGCUAUACAUGUUUGUAUUAGGAAAGGAGAAUAGUGUAGUCUGUGGUCUAAGUCUCCUACUUAAAAAGCAAUAAAAAUAAUACUAAAUUAAACCCAAAGCAAAUAGAAGGAAAAGGUGAUGAUAAAGAGUGGAUAUUCACAGAAUAUAAAACAUGAAAACAAUGGAGAGAAUUAUAAACUUCUAGCAAGAUUAUUUAGAAGAAUACUAAUAGCAGGAAGAAGGAAAAAUAUCACUAUAGAUGUUCUGGCAUUGUGGAAUAAUUGGGGGAUACAAACCAUUCUCUGUAUUCCCAGGUUCUGUAUCUGUGUAUCAACUAACUAUAAAUGGAAAUAGCCAAGAAAAAUAUAAAAUAAUGCAAUAAUAAAAAAUAUGAAUUAAAAAGAGUAUAAUAACUUUGUAUUAUGUAUUAUAAGCAAUAUUUACAUUGUAUUAGAUAUUAUAAGCAAUCUAGAAAUUAAAGUAUACAAUGGAGUGUAUGUAGCUUAUAUGCACAUGUACAUCAUUUUAUAUAAGGGACUUGACCAUUUCCGCAGAUUUUGGUAUCCUCAGGGGGUCCUGGAACCAAUCCUUAUACUAAGGGAUGACUGUAUUAUGAACAAGUACAUGUCAAUAAAUUCAACAAUUUAAGCUAAAUAGGCUAAUCGCUUAAAAGACACAAAUGACCAAACUGACACAAUGAGAAAUAGAAAACCUGAAAAACCUUACGUUAAAAAGAAAAAUUAAUAAUUAUAAACUUUCCCACAUAGAAAACUUGUGGCUCAGAUGGCUUCACUGAUUAAUUUCAUUGAAACUCAAGGAAUAAACCAUUCCAGUCCUACAUAAAUUCCUUCAGAAAAUCAAGGAGGAGAGAAGACUUCUCGUUUUAUGAGGGUAGCAUUAGCUUGAUUCCAAAACCAAAUAUGACAAGAGAACAGCAGAUCCAUAUCUUCUUUGACUAUAGAUGCAAAGAAAAAUCCUAAAUGAAAUAACAAAUAGGGUCUAGCAAACAGUAAAAAUUCAUCAUGACCAAAUGAGUUCAUACCAGGAGGUCAAAACAAAGAUGUAAGUUUGUGAUGUUGACAGUUAGUACCAAGAGAAAUUGCAUUCAAAACCACUUAAGUUUAAACAGCUUGUACUCAUUUCUUUUAGCAAAAGUUAAGUGGUGGCUGCAAGCAAGCAAGGAUGGGAAUUGAAGUCAUAAUGCUACCUUUCUGGGGAAUGAGUGAUCUCUGUCACUGUCCAGGUGGUCUCCACUCACCAAUGUCUUUGAUCUUUACUAGAGAUAGGGAACCCACAUUAUGGUCAGCAUGUGGUGGUCUGUGAUCAGUUUUGCACACUCUAGAAAGAUUCAGGGAGUCAGUGGCAGACCAGGCUUAUAUGCUAACUGGGGAGUUGGGACACUCUGAGUAUGCUGGUGCAUUAGUUAUAUGCUAUUUGGUUACACUGUAAGUUAUGUAAACCAUUAACAUUGAUUAUAUAAGUUGUUUACAUAAAAUGUUUGACUUUGGGGUAUAACAUGUUGAUCUUGUUUGAGCAAGUUAGCCAUAUAUUUAUCUGUAACAUCUUAAUUAUUAACAAUCUUAUUUUUUUUAGAAAAACAUGUUUUCUAGGAAGCAAACAUUUUUGUUUACCACUUAUAAGCAUAGCAAACAUGUUUUAUUCACUCCUGUUAAAAUGUAGGAUAAGUUACCCUCUACAGAAAAUUUAUUUCAGGCCGGGCUUUCUGGCUUAUGCCUGUAAUCCCAGCACUUUGGGAGGCCGAGGCGGGUAGAUCACUUGAGGAAAGGAGUUGAAGCCCAGCUUAGCCAACGUAGUGAAACCCCGUGUCUACUAAAAAUACAAUUAACUGGGUGUGGUGGUACAUGCCUGUAAUCCCAGCUACUCAGGAGGCUGAGGGACAAGAAUCCGUUGAACCUGGGAGGUGGAGGUUGCAAUGAGGAGAGAUCGCACCGCUGCACUCCAGCCUGGACGACACAGCAAAACUAAAAAAAAAAAAAAAGAAAAUUUAUUUCAUAUAUCACAAAGCGUCCGAUGCGAUUUGGUUUACUUAAAUUUAAUCUGGUAUUGCUAUUUUUCUAUAUUAGUAUAAUUUAGUCUAGUAUAUGAACAUCAUAACAAUGAUUUUUGUAAUCCUAACUUGAGUAUCAGAAUAUCUUUACCAGAAGUACAAUAAUAUGAGUUCUAUGGCAUUUUUUUCUGUUAUAUUUCAUUAUUCACUAAUCAUCAAUAUUAUAGCCAAACCAAAUUGCAUAUUAUAGGGGAAUUUUCCAACUGGAGCAAAACUUAAAGAAUGUUUAAGAUCAUCUUUGAUUGCCCUAAGCUCACUUCUAUGCCAUACUUCUGCAAGUCCUAUCAACUUUAAAAUGAACCUUGAAUCCAUUCUUUUAUCUACAUAUCUUUGUCUCCCCUCUCCUUCCCAGUCAAAGCCAUUUUUAUAUUCAGUGUUUUAGUCAGAAUAGGCUAUAUUUAGAGUUACAAAUUAGCAUCCUAAUCUCAAUGGUUUCACACAGCAGAGGUGUACUGCGGCUUACAUAAAGUCCAGUGUGAUCUGGGCUAUUCUCCUCCUCCAUCUUGUAGCUAUACUCUCUGCACUACUGGUUUUGAAGAUCCUCAGGUGAACUGGAAAUGACAAUGUCACUUUUGCUUACAGCGCAUUUGCUCAGAACUAGUCAAAUGGCUCCAACAUAAAUGCAUAAGCCUGGGAAGUGUAGGGCGGUACGUGAAAUAUUUAGAGAUCACAAUGAUCUGUACUACACCCAGAUUAUUACAGAUAACAUCUUAGUUGUUUUCCUGACUUUUUUUUCAUUUCCUACUGCAGUGCUUUCUCCACCUAGUAGCCAAAGUUCUUGAAAAAAAAAAAAAAAUUGUUACCACCUUGCCAGUAGUUUCCACUUUGUUUUAAAAUCCAAACAUUUUAUCCUCACCUGUGUAAAAUGCUACGCGCUAGCAUGCUUGCCUUCUCUGAUUUUGUGAUUGGCAUUUAGUGUUGCUAACUGUUAACUAUGAAUAGUAUAUUUUGAAUAGGUAUUUUAUUUUGUCCACAGUUAGGAAAAUGUGAUUUUUAAGUGUCAAAUUUAUGAAACCACAGUAAUGACUAUAAACAAUAAAUAAUAAUACCAAGAGAAAUCCUAAAUCAUAUGGUGUCUUUAAUCACAUUGUAUGCAGUUAGAAUCCUUAAAAACAGUGGCCUUUCAGAAACAUUGAUAUAAUGUAAAAUCCUGUUAUAAUGAAUAAAUUCUAUAUAGCAAAGCCA